rnacentral:rRNA from 1 species
UACGUAGGGUGCGAGCGUUAAUCGGAAUUACUGGGCGUAAAGCGUGCGCAGGCGGUUCGUUAAGUUCGUUGUGAAAGCCCCGGGCUCAACCUGGGAACUGCAAUGGAAACUGGCGGGCUUGAAUGCGGCAGAGGGGGGUGGAAUUCCGCGUGUAGCAGUGAAAUGCGUAGAGAUCAGGAGGAACACCAAUGGCGAAGGCAGCUCACUGGGACGAUACUGACGCUGAGACGCGAAAGCGUGGGGAGCAAACAGG